CCCUCCUCUUCUCCAAACUCUCGCAGUCGCCUGCCGCGCCUCCAUUGCAAGCAGAGUAACGUUGUUGUCCUACUUUCUACUCUAAACCCUAACCAUCAACCACCAACGAUGUCCAUAGUCUUCCCGAUCUGCGGUAGCAACAGAUCUCGUCCCAAUGCAUGGCCGCCCAACCUCCAUCAACAACAGCUACCAUCACAAGAGGCUUCUCGUCCCUCAUUGUCAACAACACCUACCAUCAAAUCAAAGGUUCAUCAACAUAAUUUUCACCCGAAAUGUGUAUAUAUGUUGUUGUAAUGUUGAGACGCAUGAUGGAAGUGUCUUGCAUUAAUGGGAUGUAGUACACGAUGAAAGUACCAGAUGUUUUAAAUCUACUAACAUUGAUGCCUCAAUUGGUUGCCAAUGUGCCUUCUGUAUGAUGGCUAAGCAGGUAGAAUAUAGAACCCGAGAAUCUUUUACGUUACUCAAAUGUAUUCAAUGCAAGCACAGAUGUAAGUAAAUCUACUAAUAUUGAUGCCUCAAUUGGUUAUCAGAUCCUUUCGGCCUUAAACUUUCCCUGUGUUUAAUUGAUCACUUGUAAUAUUACUGCAAAUCACAGGGAGUGUGCUUGGGGACAUGAUUUUCUCAUGAUGGGCUCUGAAUCUUUAUAUUUUUGUGGGAAAUAUUGCAAGAAGGUCUAGAUGCUUUCCCUCACCAGCAUCAUUCCAACACUCUCUUUGACGCCAAUAUGGGUUUUGCUGAAUGCGCUUUUUCCACUACUGGGGCUGCUGUCCUGUCAAUGAUCCUUGUUAAUCUGCUAGACAUUUUAAAGUCGUUUUGGUAAAUUUGUCGAGAUCCAAUUUGAUAAGCAUGGAAUGUUAUCGGGUGCAGCCAUCAGAUAAGUGGUGAAAGUGGGGCAGGAAAAACUGAAACAACAAAAAUUGCAAUGGCUACGGAUUAUCGGUAGCCAUAGGUUCUAUGUCUACAGAUUAAAUCAUUUAUUUAGGUUAUUUGCUUUCUUUUGGUAGGCCUUUAUUUUCUUUCUUUUUUCUUUUUUCCAGAGAGCUCAUAUUUUAUUCCCCGCAAUUGGGGUCACUAUGGUACUGUUUCUUUGGAAGGUCUGACAAAAAUGCAUCAAGAAAAUUUUCUAAAGAGAGAAUUGAUCUUAUGAUUGGUUGGUUGAUUUUCAUUCAGGAAAAAGAAUUCAUCCUAUAUUAGGCCCAAGCUCAAUCCUAUGUGGCAGGGACUUGAAGCCUAAUAGGCUAGUCUAUCCUAUUGCCAUAACAAGCCCUGAAUAUUAUUUCCAGUGAUUAUGGAUAUUGGUCCCACAAACAUUUUAGUGCACUAUUUCUAGUCUAUAUCCAUUAUAUUAUGAACUUAUGUUUUGUGUUUGCUCUAUUAGGUGAAAUUGAACUAUAUUCUGAGGGGCAUCGAACCUCGAGAAUUUGACUGAGGAAUAUAUGACUUCCUCUGAGGAUGUAACUUAUAUCUUAAUUAAGCUUCGGGCAGCUCCGUAGAGGGUCACUGCCAUUUUUUCUACCUAUCACAUUCGAGAUUGGGUGAGUACUGCAUCAUCGCCUCACUCGAAUGCAUCCUAAAUCAUACUGUUGUGUAUUAUCAUGGAUGUUGUGAAUGUUGUUUUCUUUUCUUGCUCUCCAUAAAUUGGAUGCUUGCAGAAGCUCAAAAUCUCUAUUCCUCUAAUAAGCAGUGGUUCUUCUUAGCUAUCCUGAUUGACUUGGUUGCUAGUUAUAUGUUUG